rnacentral:lncRNA from 1 species
CUAAAUUUGAAAUUUAAAAUUUAAAAUUUAAAAUUUUGAAAUUUAAAAUUUAAUUAUUAAAAAUUCAAAACUAACAAUUUAAAAAAUAAAAAUAAAAAUAAAAUUUAAAAUUAAAGUUCAAAAAUUUUAAAUUUUAAAUUUUAAAUUUUAAAUUUUAAAAUUUGAAAACUUUAAUUUGAAUCAAAACCAACAAAUUUUUAUCUUAAAUUUAAAUUUUAAAAUUUGAAAAUUUAAAUUUUAUAUUCUACAAUUUCAAAUUUUAAAUUUUACUUUAAGUUUUUAAUUUAAAAUUAUGAAUUUUUAAAUUUAAAAUAUGAGAUUUAAUAACUGAAUUUGAAAUUUAAAUGUUAAAAUUUGAAAUUUAAAGAUUGAAAUAUCAAGUUAAAGUUUAGAGUUAAAAUUUGAAUUUAAAUUUAAAAUUUGAAUCUGAAAUUAAUAUAAAAUUUUGAAAUUUGAGUUCAAAUUAGAACUAGAUUUCAAGAAAAAAUAUUUAGCUAUUUUUUAUUUUUGAUUUUAAAAUUAGAAACUAGUUCUAAAAAUCAGAAACAGAUUUUAAAAAUAGGAUUGCCAAAAAUUUUGAAAGUUGUUUUUUUUUUUUUUAAGAGAUAAGUAGUACGCUACCCGCUUCGUUUAUUUCAUUUAGGAAUAAACUUCGCUAGAAAUGUGAAUCAACUAGGAUUUGAAUUUGGGUCUCCGGUAUCAACCACUAAGCCUUUUGCCGCUUGCUCUAGGAAUGGUCGGUAUUUUAAAAGUUGUAUGGACUAAAAUUUUCACCCAUAUCAACUAAAUUUUGAAAGUUGUAUGGACUCCAAUAGUCCAUACUCCAUGCCUCCAAUAGUCCGAGUUCGAACCGAAUUUUUUUCGCUAAUCUUACAUUCACAGCUCUCUAUGUAGGUCUCGUUUGACUGUUUUUCCACAUUCAUGGUGUGGCAAGGUCCCUUAGGAGAACGGGUUUUUUAAAAUCUUAUGAUUUCUUAAAUUUUUUACGUUUUAGUUUUAGAGAAUAUAUAUACAGUUAUUUAUCAAUUAAAUAAGUUUUAAGUACAUUUCUUAAGAUUAUUUUUAAAAAUUAAAAGAGUUUAGAUUAUAUUUGGGUCACGAAGAACUUUUUACGUAAUGAAAAAGAUUUUUUUUUUUUAAGAGAUAGGUAGCAUACUAUCCGCUUCGUUUAUUUUAUUUAGAAAUAAACUUAGCUAAAAAUGUGAAUCAACUAGGAUUCAAAUUUGGGUCUCGGGUAUCAACCACCAAGUCUUUUGCCAGUUGCUCUGGAGACGGUCGGUCGUGUAGUACUCUAGGCCGAGCCAAACCGGGUGCUGCCUACCUUCUUUUAAACCAUUUAUAUAACUUAUUAAUUGGGAACCACUCUUUAUUUUGGGAGGGCCUCUGGGGCCACUCUUUUUUUCUUUUUUUUCUCUCUCUCUCUUUCACACUCUCUCUCACACACUUUAUAUAUAUAUAUAUAUAUUUUUAUUUUUUCACUUUAUUUAUAUUUAUUUAUUUAUUUAUAAUUUAUAAAUAUACUAAUUUAGAAUAAAAAAAAUCUCCCCUUCUUUUGGAGGUUGUGGGGCCGACAUUAAUUUUUUAAAAAUUUAAUUGCACAUUGGGUACCAAUCUUUUCACGCUUUUUUAUUUUGGUCCCUAAACCCUAAACUUUGCAUAUUUUUUAUUUUAGGUUUCAAAUAAUUUUUUAAAGAUUAAUUUAUAUAAUAAUAUAAUAUUUGGUAGUUGAAUUUUUUUACAUUGUAAAAAGUACUAUUUUGAUUUCGAUUGUCUUUUAAUUAGUCUUUUUUUUGUGCUUCUGAUAAUUAGUUACGUACUGAUUUCUUUACUAAUUUAAAAUUUAGGAAUCAAAUACUUUAUUAAUUAUAUAUGUAACGAUAAAAGUUAAUGAGGGCACAAUAAAGACGUUGCGGCUAAGAAUACCAAAGAUAGUAUUUUUACUCUACUUAGUUUUUUUAUUUUUUUUUUGUAAAUUCUAUCUUGAUGAUAAUAGAAAAAUAUUAUUUAUCUUUCUUAAUACUAUAAUGAGCGUUUUGUUUUAUUUUAAACUGAUUUAUUUAUUUUACUUAUUAGGUUUAAAUAUUUUUAAAAAAAAUAUGCUUUAGUUUCAUUCUUUAAUUUAUUUUUUAAUUUUUAAUUAUUCAAUACUGAGAUAAAUAAUAUUUAAAAAUAUUAAUACAUAAUAAAAAAGUAAUAUUAUUUAUUAUAAUUAUUUACUAUUGUACUGUUUUUCCGUCGCAUCGCGGAGCCCUUAACUAGUUAACACUGAUUCGCAACAUUGACUUCCAUGUGGCAAAGUUAGAGCUAUCUCGCAACAGUGAGGGGUGUGUAAGACAUGCUCAUAUAUUGUUCUUUACUAAAAAAACGAGAGAGGCCGAAAUCUUGUAGGUAAUAUAUAUUCAAUAAUAAAGACAUUGAUUAUUAGUUGGAAAAAGCAUAGAAACAUAUAAGUAAAUGCUACUCGUACAUCCAAAUUGAAGUGUAUAUUUUACAUCCUACUUAUCUAAUGGAUGAGGGUUACUUAUUAGUUACUUGAUGUGAACAGUAAAAACAUCCCACCUAUUGGAUGAAUGGAAUGUAAAAUAUGCAUAUACUUUCAGAUGUAUUUAAUAGUAUUGCUAAAACAUAUAUUUGCCAUCGUUUAACCUAUUUUUUAAUUUGUUCUUAAUAGAUGAUAAAUUUAAUAAACAAAAUAGGUAAAAACGUGCAUAACUUAUCUAAACGCUGUA